UCCUACGGGAGGCAGCAGUCGGGAAUUUUGCCCAAUGGGGGAAACCCUGAGGCAGCAACGCCGCGUGAGGGAUGAAGGCCUUCGGGUUGUAAACCUCUUUUCUCAGGGACGAUAAUGACGGUACCUGAGGAAUAAGCCACGGCUAACUACGUGCCAGCAGCCGCGGUAAUACGUAGGUGGCAAGCGUUGUCCGGAUUUACUGGGCGUAAAGAGCGCGCAGGCGGCCAGGUCAGUCGAAUGUGAAAGCCCCCGGCUCAACUGGGGAGGGUCAUUCGAUACUGCCUGGCUUGAAGAUAGGAGAGGGAAGCGGAAUUUCAGGUGUAGUGGUGAAAUGCGUAGAUAUCUGAAGGAACACCAGUGGCGAAGGCGGCUUUCUGGCCUAUUCUUGACGCUGAGGCGCGAAAGCUAGGGGAGCGAACGGGAUUAGAUACCCCGGUAGUCCUAGCCGUAAACGAUGAACACUAGAUGUUGGUGGUAUCAACCCCGCCAGUGUCGCAGCUAACGCAUUAAGUGUUCCGCCUGGGGAGUACGGCCGCAAGGCUAAAACUCAAAUGAAUUGACGG
rnacentral:rRNA from 1 species